AUUGAGAAACAAGUUAAUAAGAUUGAUGAACAAGUACAUAGCUUACUUUUUGGACAUGAUGACAGGCUAGUUGCUUACCAUUUUAUUGUACAUGCAUUCAUAUAUUUAUGAUUGGGCAUAGUAGUAUAGCUUCACUAUCCUAUCUUUACAGCUUUCCAUAUCUAUCUAUCGAUUAUCUACUUUUGCCCGCUUGGACCUAGUGGGGAGCUCGGCGGAGUCGGCGGCCGAACCCACUGGGAACUAAGGAAGUUAGUUCUCACCCCUAUUUUACUACAGGGCCGAGCGCGAGUUCACACGGCGAGGAUCGCGGUAAGGGCCUAGCGCCCUAGUUGCAUUAGCUAUCCACCCCUUUUGCAUUAGCUCUACCUUUUUAUUAUGUUUGAGAGUAGAUGAUGUAUAGGGUGAGGUUUGAGAGAUUGUACUUAUAUUUUGGAAGAAUGUUAAAGAUGUAAGUAAAUGUAUUGAGUUAAAUGAAUGCAAUAGGUAGCAUCUUCUCUCUUUAUGUACUUGUAUAUUUUCAUACUUGUAUCUUGCUCUCGUUUUGUUAGCACUAGUGGUGCUUCUCGAUCGUGUAUUUAUGAAUAGAUUCCUGGGCAAAUUCUUGUACAUGAUCGUUCGCUUAGCCUUGGGCGGACAGGGGAGACUCUGUCCGUUCGGCGUCUGUUCGACGUGCCCGGGCCGGACCGAAUUGGUAGCGGUCGCGGGGCGUGACAUGCAGGGCCGAGCGCGAGUUCACCCGACGAGGAUCGCGGUAAGGGCCUAGCGCCCUAGUUGCAUUAGCUUACUUUCCUAUACAUUAGAGCUACCCGAUGUAUUUUGAGAGUGUAGAUGAUGUAUAGGGUGUGAGGUUUCAUUUUGAAAAUGUAAGCUUAUGUUAUAUUUUGGAAGUUUAAAUGUAAAUUGAUGUAUUAAAGAGGUUCAAUGAAUAUAAUAGAUAGAUGUCCUCUCUUUAUUGUUACUUGUAUGCCGUAUACUUGUACCUUGCUCUUAUCUGUUAGCACUUGUCGUGCUCCUCGUGAUCGUGUAUGCAUGAAUUGAUUCCUGGGUAAAUUCUUGUACAUGAUCAUUUGCUUGGCCUUGGGCGGACAGGGGAGGUGCUGUCCGCUCGGCGUCUGUUUGACGCGCCCGAACCGGACCGAAUUGGUUUCGGGGUCGGGGUGUGACAAGACUGUUCAGUUGCGCUCUAACAGUACAACUUUGCAAACAGUACUUUUUCUCAUUUAAUCGAAUAAAGAGUAAAACCUAAUUAUAUUGUUCUAUUAUGCCCCAAGAGUUUAAAUUUGCAACGUAUCGAUGUCAACGUUCACAAGAACCAAAACCGGAACAACAUUAGACUACUCAGUUGCGGCC
rnacentral:lncRNA from 1 species